rnacentral:rRNA from 1 species
CGGCGUGCUUAACACAUGCAAGUCGAACGCGAAAGGGACUUACGGUCCUGAGUAAAGUGGCGCACGGGUGAGUAACGCGUAGAUAACCUGUCUUCAUGUCUGGAAUAAUACGCCGAAAGGGGUACUAAUACCGGAUAUUCUUGCUUUUCAUAAGUUAUGCAAGCAAAGGUGGCCUCUGCAUAUGCUACUGCAUGAAGAGGGGUCUGCGUACCAUUAGCUAGUAGGUGGGGUAAUGGCCUACCUAGGCGACGAUGGUUAGCGGGUCUGGGAGGAUGAUCCGCCACACUGGCACUGGAACACGGGCCAGACUCCUACGGGAGGCAGCAGUGAGGAAUAUUGCGCAAUGGGGGAAACCCUGACGCAGCGACGCCGCGUGAGUGAGGGAAAGGCCUUCGGGUCGUAAAGCUCUGUCAAGAGGAAAGAAGUGUACAAUGGCUAAUACCUGUUGUAUUUGACGGUACCUCUAAAGGAAGCACCGGCUAACUCCGUGCCAGCAGCAGC